CUAUACUGUAUGUUGAUACUCGUAUAGAUUGAGUUCCCCUUGCCCCUCCCUCUCCCCACACACAAGACGCUGGUUGUGGCAAGAGCACCAGACGGUCGGCUGUGGGUGGUAGGUGGUGCGGAUGGUGACAUUAGGUGUGUGGCGGAAGUGGCGCAAACAGCACGAGCUCGAGUACAAUUGCGGGAGGGUACAAAUGCGGGACUUCGGUGACACUACACAGACACAAGUUACCUUGCACCAUACAGUACUUUCGGUGUGCCUCGAGCGAUUGCUCUUGCUGCGGUGUUUCUACGGCGUCUGUCUGUGUUCAGCAGCAACGGUUCCGUGGUGGUCGUGGUGUUUGGGGGCUGGAGUGGAGAGGGUGGAUUUGGGAUGGACAAAAUGGGAAAAUGGGGAAUUUAGGGAAAAUUGGGAAAAUUGGGAAAAUUGGGAAAAUGGAGACCUCAUAACAACACUGGAAUCAUCUCGACAUUGGCAUCUGAUUUGGACCCUCUUUUAACCCUCCUUGACCCCCCUUGACCCUCCUUGACCCCCCUUGACCCUCCUUGACCCUCCUUGACCCUCUUUGACCCUCUCUGACCCUCUCUGACCCUCUCAACCCUCAACUCCUUCCGGACCUCGCACCCUGCAACUUGCAGCUUCCUUGUCUCUGCAACAGGACCAACACGGAAACUGUAUGGGCCCUUUGUGGGUGCACUAUUACGGUAUCGUACCGGUUCAUGUAUCGAGCAUACAUUGUUUUCGUCCUUGUAUUGUCCUUGUAUCGUCCUUGUAUCGUCCUUG
rnacentral:misc_RNA from 1 species